rnacentral:sRNA from 1 species
UUGGGAAAUCGAGAAAUCGAGAAAUUGGGAAAUUGAAAAAUCGAGAAAUCGAGAAAGCAAAAACGCGAAAUCGAGAAACUCAUUUCGCGUUUUCGCGUUUUUGCAUUCUCGAUUUCUCGAUUUCCCGAUUUCCCAAUUUCUCGAUUUUCCUAUUUCUCGAU